rnacentral:rRNA from 1 species
UUGUUGGGUGCUCGAGUGGCGAACGGGUGAGUAACACGUGAGUAACCUGCCCUUGACUUUGGGAUAACUUCAGGAAACUGGGGCUAAUACCGGAUAGGAGCUCCUGCUGCAUGGUGGGGGUUGGAAAGUUUCGGCGGUUGGGGAUGGACUCGCGGCUUAUCAGCUUGUUGGUGGGGUAGUGGCUUACCAAGGCUUUGACGGGUAGCCGGCCUGAGAGGGUGACCGGCCACAUUGGGACUGAGAUACGGCCCGG